rnacentral:rRNA from 1 species
UACGUAGGUGGCGAGCGUUGUCCGGAUUUACUGGGCGUAAAGAGCGCGCAGGCGGCUGGUCAAGUCCGAUGUGAAAGCUCCCGGCUUAACUGGGAAUGGCAUUUGGGACUGCAAAGCUUGAGUGCGGCAGAGGGGACUGGAAUUCCUGGUGUAGCAGUGAAAUGCGUAGAGAUCAGGAGGAAUACCGAUGGCGAAGGCAGGUCCCUGGGCUGACACUGACGCUCAUGCACGAAAGCGUGGGGAGCAAACAGG